UACGGAAGGGGGCUAGCGUUGCUCGGAAUCACUGGGCGUAAAGCGCACGUCGUCGGGUCGUUAAUUCGGGGGUGAAAUCCUGGAGCUCAACUCCAGAACUGCCUUCGAUACUGGCGAUCUUGAGUCUGGGAGAGGUGAGUGGAACUCCGAGUGUAGAGGUGAAAUUCGUAGAUAUUCGGAAGAACACCAGUGGGGAAGGCGGCUCACUGGCCCGGUACUGACGCUGAGGUGCGAAAGCGUGGGGAGCAAACAGG
rnacentral:rRNA from 1 species